GAUGAACGCUGGCGGCGUGCCUAAUACAUGCAAGUCGAGCGAACGGACGAGGCUCUUGCUUCUCUUACGUUAGCGGCGGACGGGUGAUUCACACGUGGAUAACCUGCCUAUAGGACUGGGAUCACUUCGGGAAACCUGAGCUAAUACCGGAUCAUAUUUUGAACCGCAUGGUUCUAUAGUGAAAGACGGUUUUGCUGUCACUUAUAGAUGUAUCCUCGCUGCAUUAGCUAGUUGGUAAGGUAACGGCUUACCAAGGCAACGAUGCGUAGCCGACCUGAGAGGGUGAUCGGCCACACUGGAACUGAGACACGGUCCAGACUCCUACGGGAGGCAGCAGUAGGGAAUAUUCGGCAAUGGGCGAAAGCCUGACGGAGCAACGCCGCGUGAGUGAUGAAGGUCUUCGGAUCGUAAAACUCUGUUAGUAGGGAAGAAGAAAAGUGUAAGUAAAUAUGCACGUCUUGACGGUACCUAAUCAGAAAGCCACGGCUAACUACGUG
rnacentral:rRNA from 1 species